GUGUGUGUGUGUGUGUGUGUCUCUUUAUGUAUGUGUCUGUAUGAUACAGACACAUACAUACAGAGACACACACAUACAG